rnacentral:misc_RNA from 1 species
ACGCAUGACUAUGAGGUCAAGAUGCGUAAUGUGAUGAAAUUCCUGGAAAAUGGCGACAAGGUUAAAAUCACCUUGCGGUUCCGAGGCCGGGAAAUGGCGCACCAGAAUCUGGGUCGUGAACUUCUGGAACGUGUGGCCAAGGACAUUACCGAAAUCGGCAAGGUUGAAAACAUGCCGAAGAUGGAAGGCCGCCAGAUGAUCAUGAUGAUCGGGCCGCUGCCCAAAUAAUUUACGAUACCAAACCAUUGAAACGCCCCCGGGUAGGCUUACCUCUGGGGGCGUUUGUAUUUGCAAGGGCAUCUUAUGUGGGAA